GUUUUCUCACCAAUAUAACUUUCUCCACAAUAAUUGAAUCCUGUCAAUACAUAAUUUCAAAUCCUUUCUCUCCUGCUUGGCUUUUCGUAAGGUUGCCAGGUUUGGAAGGUGACUUGGCUCGGGAUCUCCAAUAUCCAUCAACUCUGAUGCCUUUGCUGACCUCCAUACAGCUGGUUCCAUCCUACCCUCACACAACUCUUUGGAAACCUGUGCACGAAGGGUUCCUGACAUGAAUCUUUUGGACUGGCCAGUGUGCAGGGAGAUGUCGGCGCCUUCGAUAGAACACUGGAGCACCAUUGGGCUGUUGACCGUUGGCUCUCUGUCACAUGUCAUUUUAACAUGGCCUUGACACGCUUUACAGAAGCCUUUGAUAUCAAUGUACUUACUAGUGACAGUUGGAUAAAUUUUUGCUCUUUGCAAUACAAAUGUACAUGUGCUUUUCAACUUUUUCCAAACCAGAUCAUUAAUUAUGUGACUCCAAGUGCCAGGUUUUAAAAUUGUGUAUUCCCUUUUGCCAGAUGAUGAAAACUUGUCAUUGUAUUCAACUCUUUCUGGUAUAAAUUUAAUCCAUUCUUCAAAUGGAACUUCAAGCUGAAAAUCUGUAAAUUGAGCAAAGAAAGGUUUUGC